rnacentral:sRNA from 1 species
CCUUAGUUCAUUUUGUUAUUUAAAAUGUGCAUUCUCAAGUUAUAAUUUCUUGACCUUCAAACAUCACAUUUGUACGUCACGACCUUGAACCAGAACAGCAAGUCGCUCUCGAUCCCUGACUUCGACCCGAUGAUGCGUGCAGCGACCGACCAGUCUCGUUUUCCAGUUCUAUUUGGCAAGUGGCAGGCGUUGCACAAUGAUAUGAAUAUGGCAGCCGUGGCUCCCAACAAAGAUGGCCCGACAAUUUUUGAUGUCUUCAACUUUGCUUGACCAUAAAAUACUGUUCUCGGCAGAAUGCGCAUAGUAUCAAGCUCCAUAUACAUUGGUCGAUUAUGCAACCUUCAUGACCUAU